UACGUAGGGUGCGAGCGUUGUCCGGAAUUAUUGGGCGUAAAGAGCUUGUAGGCGGUUUGUCGCGUCUGCUGUGAAAUUCCAGGGCUUAACCCUGGGCUUGCAGUGGGUACGGGCAGACUAGAGUGUGGUAGGGGGAGACUGGAAUUCCUGGUGUAGCGGUGAAAUGCGCAGAUAUCAGGAGGAACACCGAUGGCGAAGGCAGGUCUCUGGGCCACUACUGACGCUGAGAAGCGAAAGCAUGGGGAGCGAACAGG
rnacentral:rRNA from 1 species